rnacentral:rRNA from 1 species
GAUGAACGCUGGCGGCGUGCCUAAUACAUGCAAGUCGAACGCUGGAACUCUAGCUUGCUAGAUUGAAGGAGUGGCGAACGGGUGAGUAAUACAUAAGCAACCUACCCACGAAGACUGGGAUAAUCUCUGGAAACGGGGACUAAUACCGGAUAGGUAAUCGGAAGGCAUCUUCUGAUUAUUAAAGGUUAAAAACACUGGUGGAUGGGCUUAUGGCGCAUUAGUUGGUUGGUGAGGUAACGGCCCACCAAGACGAUGAUGCGUAGCCGGCCUGAGAGGGUGAACGGCCACAUUGGGACUGAGACACGGCCCAGACUCCUACGGGAGGCAGCAGUAGGGAAUUUUCGGCAAUGGGGGAAACCCUGACCGAGCAACGCCGCGUGAGUGAUGACGGCCUUCGGGUUGUAAAGCUCUGUUGUAAGGGAAGAACGGUAGAUAGAGAAUAUCUAAAUGACGGUACCUUACCAGAAAGCCACGGCUAACUACGUG